rnacentral:rRNA from 1 species
GGGUAUAAAGCUAUUAGAGGUAAUGCCUGCCCAGUGACACUGUUAAACGGCCGCGGUAUCCUAACCGUGCAAAGGUAGCAUAAUCACUUGUCUUUUAAAUAAAGACUGGAAUGAAUGGCCAAACGAGGUUCUACCUGUCUCUUACAAAUAAUCAGUGAAAUUGAUCUCCCUGUGCAAAAGCAAGGAUAAAAUCAUAAGACGAGAAGACCCUGUGGAACUUCAAAUACAAGUCAACUAUCACAAAAAACACCCACCCACGGGUCCACAUCUAUCAGCAUCUGACUUAUAUUUUUCGGUUGGGGCGACCUCGGAACAAAACAAAACCUCCGAAAAAAGAACUAUAUCUAAACCUAGACCUACAACCCAAAGUGCCUGCGGCAAAAUGAUCCAAUAUACUUGAUCAACGAACCAAGCUACCCCAGGGAUAACAGCGCAAUCCCAUCCUAGAGUCCAUAUCGACGAUGGGGUUUACGACCUCGAUGUUGGAUCAGGACAUCCUGAUGGUGCAGCCGCUAUCAAGGGUUCGUUUGUUCAACGAUUAACAGUCCUACGUGAUCUGAGUUAAACGCC